CCUACCUCUGUUGCUUUGGCGGGCCGCGGUCCUCCGCGGCCGCCCCCCUCCCCGGGGGGUGGCCAGCGCCCGCCAGAGGACCAUCAAACUCCAGUCAGUAAACGAUGCAGUCUGAAAAACAUUUAAUAAACUAAAACUUUCAACAACGGAUCUCUUGGUUCUGGCAUCGAUGAAGAACGCAGCGAAAUGCGAUAAGUAAUGUGAAUUGCAGAAUUCAGUGAAUCAUCGAAUCUUUGAACGCACAUUGCGCCCUUUGGUAUUCCGAAGGGCAUGCCUGUUCGAGCGUCAUUACAACCCUCAAGCUCUGCUUGGUAUUGGGCACCGUCCUUUGCGGGCGCGCCUCAAAGACCUCGGCGGUGGCGUCUUGCCUCAAGCGUAGUAGAACAUACAUCUCGCUUCGGAGCGCAGGGCGUCGCCCGCCGGACGAACCUUCUGAACUUUUCUCAAGGUUGACCUCGGAUCAGGUAGGGAUACCCGCUGAACUUAAGCAUA
rnacentral:rRNA from 1 species